UCUCUCACAGGUUUUUUGCUGCUCACUGGUGAAUCCUCUGAUAUGUGAGUGAACCACAGGUUUCCCUUCACGUCUCCACACACAACACAGUCUGAAAGAACAGUCAAGGGUCAGAGAGCUAAAACUCGUAGCCAAAGAACUCUGUGGCCCCAUGGUAAACUGAAACCAAAG